rnacentral:tRNA from 1 species
GUGGGUGUAGCUCAGCUGGUUAGAGCACUUGACUGUGGCUCAAGUGGUCGCGGGUUCGAAUCCCGUCAUCCACCCCA